GACGAACCGUGCAAACGUUGUUCGGAUUCACUGGGCUUAAAGGGCGCGUAGGCGGGCGGUCGAGUCCGGGGUGAAAUCUUUCAGCUCAACUGGAAAAGUGCCUCGGAUACCGGCCAUCUUGAGGGAGGUAGGGGCAUGCGGAACUUCCGGUGGAGCGGUGAAAUGCGUAGAUAUCGGAAGGAACGCCGGUGGCGAAGGCGGCUCGCUGGAUCUCUUCUGACGCUGAGGCGCGAAAGCUAGGGGAGCAAACGGGG
rnacentral:rRNA from 1 species